ensembl:lncRNA
CCCUCCGCCACCCCGACGCAUAACCUUUAUUUAAUUAUAAGUAAAUGUGAACUCGUGAAAUGACUUACAUUUCAGUUUAAAUUUCAUUGUAUGACUUCAGACGACUUGGAAUAUAGUGCAAAAGCUGUAUGGACCACUGAUGGUUCCCUAACUAGAUUAACCAGAAUGAUGUUCUUGUUGUCAAUAACCUUCAACCGUUAAUUCUGGUGGAAUAGCAUAUCUGUGCUGGUGCACAAGCUAGACCAGCAUAAGCUUGGACCAUCAUGGAAACUCAUUUUCAGCAAGAUCGGUCCUACGUCCCUGAAUGAAAAAACUGGCAGGAGUGUGAGAGCAUAAGAAAGCUGCAAUAGGAAUGUAUCAUGAUUACAUUCAUAUAAUACUCAGUUAGAACUCAAUGUCAGCUUCCAUUCAUCUUACCUCUCUCCCUCAUCAUAUUGGGUCCUCGGAGACAGAGUUCAUGCUUGAUUGAUACUUCUUCAAAGAAGAUUUCUCAAAGCCCAGUCUGAGGGGUUUCACCAAAACCAAAUGGACUUUAUGUUGGUAGUACGUUCACAGCAUUUAACAGAUUACAGUACAUAACAACACAAUGUACAAAAAACCCACUAGAGGCGAGCCAGAAUACAAUUUAUUUUUAGUUCAACUAUAUUGAACGUAUCGGAAAUAACUUCAGAAAUGUCAAACAUGUCCUGCGAGUUGGUAUACAUUUGCAGUUUUCAGAAAGAGAAUGCUACUAUUCUGUGAUGGCAGUCAAUUUUGGGAGCUUUUCUUAGUGUUUCUGAUUAAAUUUAAGAUCUCUUAGGAUGUGUGACAUGACUUUGCCCUCACUUUUCACCUCGCUCUAUCUCCUUUUGCUCGCUCGCUCGCUCUAUCUCUUUCUCACACUUACUCUGUUCCUCGCUGUUUUCGAAUAAAGCAGAGGCUGGUGCCGCUCGUGAAAUGCUCUACUUCCCCCUGACACUUUUAGAAAUGGCAGUGAGAAUUCAUAAAUAUUCAUGUUCCACCACAGCUUCAUUGUGCUGCACAUCUACAGGGCUGAUAGAGGGAGAGCUUUUCUAUUAGCCGCUUUUCUGCUCAGAUAAUGUUGAGUUCUAAAGAGAGGCAUUUUGGAGACUGGAUGACAGGACAGAGAAGGAGAGAGGCCGGGAGGAAAGGACAGAAAAGGCCGA